rnacentral:rRNA from 1 species
AUUGAACGCUGGCGGCAUGCCUUACACAUGCAAGUCGAACGGCAGCACGGGUGCUUGCACCUGGUGGCGAGUGGCGAACGGGUGAGUAAUACAUCGGAACAUGUCCUGUAGUGGGGGAUAGCCCGGCGAAAGCCGGAUUAAUACCGCAUACGAUCUACGGAUGAAAGCGGGGGACCUUCGGGCCUCGCGCUAUAGGGUUGGCCAAUGGCUGAUUAGCUAGUUGGUGGGGUAAAGGCCUACCAAGGCGACGAUCAGUAGCUGGUCUGAGAGGACGACCAGCCACACUGGGACUGAGACACGGCCCAGACUCCUACGGGAGGCAGCAGUGGGGAAUUUUGGACAAAGGGCGAAAGCCUGAUCCAGCAAUGCCGCGUGUGUGAAGAAGGCCUUCGGGUUGUAAAGCACUUUUGUCCGGAAAGAAAUCCUUGGCCCUAAUACGGUCGGGGGAUGACGGUACCGGAAGAAUAAGCACCGGCUAACUACGUG